UCGGGAAUAUUGCACAAUGGAGGAAACUCUGAUGCAGUGACGCCGCGUGCAGGAAGAAGGUUUUCGGAUUGUAAACUGCUUUAGAUAGGGAAGAAAAAAGACUGUACCUAUAGAAUAAGCUCCGGCUAACUACGUGCCAGCAGCCGCGGUAAUACGUAGGGAGCAAGCGUUAUCCGGAUUUAUUGGGUGUAAAGGGUGCGUAGACGGGUUAACAAGUUAGUUGUGAAAUCCCUCGGCUUAACUGAGGAACUGCAACUAAAACUAUUAAUCUUGAGUGCGGGAGAGGAAAGUGGAAUUCCUAGU
rnacentral:rRNA from 1 species